UACGUAGGGCGCAAGCGUUGUCCGGAAUUAUUGGGCGUAAAGAGCUCGUAGGCGGCCAGUUGCGUCCGCUGUGAAAUCCCGGGGCUUAACCCCGGGCGUGCAGUGGAUACGGGCUGGCUAGAGGCAGGCAGGGGAGAACGGAAUUCCCGGUGUAGCGGUGAAAUGCGCAGAUAUCAGGAGGAACACCGGUGGCGAAGGCGGGUCUCUGGGCCGAUACUGACGCUGAGGAGCGAAAGCGUGGGGAGCGAACAGG
rnacentral:rRNA from 1 species